UACAGAGGUCUCAAGCGUUGUUCGGAUUCAUUGGGCGUAAAGGGUGCGUAGGUGGCGCGGUAAGUCGGGUGUGAAAAUCUCGGAGCUUAACUCCGAAAUUGCAUUCGAUACUGCCGUGCUCGAGGACUGGAGAGGAGACUGGAAUUCACGGUGUAGCAGUGAAAUGCGUAGAUAUCGUGAGGAAGACCAGUGGCGAAGGCGGGUCUCUGGACAGUUCCUGACGCUGAGGCGCGAAGGGCCAGGGGAGCAAAACGGG
rnacentral:rRNA from 1 species